rnacentral:misc_RNA from 1 species
AAGUCGUAACAAGGUUUCCGUAGGUGAACCUGCGGAAGGAUCAUUGCAAAUCAGAAGAGAGAGUUUUGGUAGUUGGGAUCCAAAAGGUCUUGAUUUCCUUACUCGUCUCACAUAUGCACAGCGUACUGAUCUUUGAUCGGUCGCUGAUGUUUACGCUUGUUUGUUUGACAAAUCUAUACAUUAUAAUAUUUAAAACUUUUAACAACGGAUCUCUUGGCUCUU